rnacentral:pre_miRNA from 1 species
CAAGUACUCCCUUCGUCCAGAAUUACUUGUCAUCAAAAUGGAUGUGUCUAGAACUAAAAUACAUCUAGAUACAUCCAUUUCAAUGACAAGUAUUUUCGGACAGAGGGAGUACAAG